AGGACGAACGCUGGCGGCGUGCUUAACACAUGCAAGUCGAGCGGAAAGGCCUUUCGGGGUACUCGAGCGGCGAACGGGUGAGUAACACGUGAGUAAUCUGCCCAUCGCUUCAGGAUAGCCAUCGGAAACGGUGAUUAAUACUGGAUAUGACAUUCCUUCGCAUGUUGGGGUGUGGAAAGUUUUUUCGGCGGUGGAUGUGCUCGCGGCCUAUCAGCUUGUUGGUGGGGUAAUGGCCUACCAAGGCUUUGACGGGUAGCCGGCCUGAGAGGGGGACCGGCCACACUGGGACUGAGACACGGCCCAGACUCCUACGGG
rnacentral:rRNA from 1 species